AACGCAUCUUGCGCUCUGGGGUAUUCCUCAGAGCAUGCCUGUUUGAGUGUCGUGGACUAUCUCAACCCCGCUGGGUUUUUUUUUGCCCAGUAGCUUGGGCUUUGGAUCGUGAUCGUCUGCCGGCUGGCCUUGUGUACGGGUCUGGCUCGAUCAAAAGGCACGAGCGGCUGAUUUCCCUUGAUCCGGCCUGUGACUCGGCGUGAUAAUCAUUUCUUCGCCGAAUGACAGAAUGUGGAGAAGGGGUAGUGAAAGGCUGCUACCAAACCACCACUUGAUCACCUUGACCUCAAAUCAGGUAGGACUACCCGCUGAACUUAA
rnacentral:misc_RNA from 1 species